UGAGACAGGUGCUGCAUGGCUGUCGUCAGCUCGUGUUGUGAAAUGUUGGGUUAAGUCCCGCAACGAGCGCAACCCUUAUCCUUUGUUGCCAGCGCGUGAUGGCGGGAACUCAAAGGAGACUGCCGGUGAUAAACCGGAGGAAGGUGGGGAUGACGUCAAGUCAUCAUGGCCCUUACGAGUAGGGCUACACACGUGCUACAAUGGCGCAUACAAAGAGAAGCGACCUCGCGAGAGCAAGCGGACCUCACAAAGUGCGUCGUAGUCCGGAUCGGAGUCUGCAACUCGACUCCGUGAAGUCGGAAUCGCUAGUAAUCG
rnacentral:rRNA from 1 species